CAGCCGCCGCGGUAAUACGGAGGGUGCAAGCGUUAAUCGGAAUUACUGGGCGUAAAGCGCAUGCAGGCGGUCUGACAAGUCAGAUGUGAAAUCCCCGGGCUUAACCUGGGAACUGCAUUUGAAACUGUCAGGCUGGAGUCUUGUAGAGGGGGGUGGAAUUCCAGGUGUAGCGGUGAAAUGCGUAGAGAUCUGGAGGAAUACCGGUGGCGAAGGCGGCCCCCUGGACAAAGACUGACGCUCAGGUGCGAAAGCGUGGGGAGCAAACAGGAUUAGAUACCCCGGUAGUCCCUGUCUCUUAUAC
rnacentral:rRNA from 1 species